UUGAAUCCAUUCCAAUUUCAGUAGUAGUGGUUUUAGUCUUCUUGAUGUUGAUUUCUAAACUUCUUCUUCAAACUUCAACAACAGUCCAAAUACAAGGAUAUCUAAGCAAAGUCGUCUUCAAUGGAAUUUAAUAGUAGUACAUUUGCAUAUCUCUUCGGAGUUGAGGGAGUAUAAGCUUGGUAGAGCUUGGCAUCAACUUCAUCUCUCUCGGACCAUGCACGUAGCGUAUCACCAUCAACUUCGUAUGUAAUACGACUAGUUUUCACUUAAUAUUUUGUAUUUUACCAUUUCGCAUUUCCCUAAGUUCUGUAGAAAUGACGACUGUGGCUGCAUUCCUAGUACUAGUACCAAGAUCAUAUCAUUAUUCAUGGAGAGAAAAAAAGAAGAAGAUCAUUCAAGGUAAAAAAACGCUUUGCGAAUCUGGAGAAAAACUGAUUCAACUCACCCUUAGUCAAAACUCAAAACCUUCUCCUCUACAACCCUAAUACCCAAUCAAACUAUUAUGAUUGUUUAAAUUUCUUUCAGCUAAACCUCAUACCCACGGGCCCUUUCACGAUGUAGUCGAUUCACUUUGAGGUGGUCUGAUUAAAUGUUGGUGUUUCCCCUAAACCUAAUUUUUGAUGCUGCUGAUUUAACCCAAGCUUCUUAGUGUUGUGGUCUCUUCAAUGGAGCUAUCUUUCGAUUGAUUACCAGAUGAUGUAUUCUGAAGAAUUGAUUUAACAUAUUUGAUGGAUUUUAUACACGGAUUUGAUUUGAUUUCAAAAGUAACCCUAGUUACGCCCCUCGAAAAUCAAUUUCAUCACGAGCUUUCACUUUUCUCUUCUCUGAUGAGACAGUGGGUCCUCUAUGCGGCUGGUCUUCUCUACAAGUUCCAAGGAGCAUUGUUCAUCCCCUGGUGUGUUGCUGUCUUCACAUAAUCUUUUUUAUAUACCCUUUUCAGCUGAGGUUUUGAAGUGGCAAUAGGAGAUUAAACACAGGUAAUUAUGAGCCUUAUUUUUAGCUGUAACCAUUAUCAAUUCAUCAAAUACAAAUACAGCUCCAUGUUUUCUUCAAAACCUAAUUAUCACAGAACCGAAAUUUCAUUAUCUUAUUUUUAUUUAAAAACAAGUUUCUCUUUGUUCAAUUCUCUUAUAAAUACUGCUCAAUCAAACCCCUUUGCUUUCAACCCUUUCUCUUGCUUCUCCCUAGAUCCUUGCUUGUUUUGUUCCUACUCUGGUUAUUUUGUUCUGUUUAACCUUAUGAUGUCAUCUCUAUGUCCAGUUGUGUGUUUAGAGAUGUUUUUUACAAUAGAUUUCUUAAUAAUCAUGCUAGGAAAGCUUCUUUUCCUGACAAACAAUGGCAAGAUCAAUUAGUUGGUUGUUUUUUAACAAAAAUAAACAAAAAUUCCUUUCACUUAAGAAAUGCUUUAAAAUAUAGAUGGAAGCUGCUUGGUGAGAUUUCUGUUAGCAAGCUUGGUAGGGGCUUUUAUCUGAUUAAGUUUGAAUCCAGUCUUGAAAUGUUUAAUGUUCUUAAGCAAGGAACCAGGGUGAUCUCUGGAGAUACAUUCUUAUUUCAACCUUGUAGCUUUUCUGUACUUCCUCAAAACUUUGAAAUCAUCUCUGAGAUAUUUGAGAUAACCCUUCACAAACUAUACCCUGAACAGACCUGAAUAUUUAAUAUCAUGAAGAACACUCAAGUUUUUUGAGAACUAAUAGAUUAUGAUGAUCCCAUUUACCACUUCAAUGGUUACAGCUCCAUGAAAAUAAGGCUCGGAAUGAAUAUUUUUCAACCACUGCCAUUUGGUACUUAUGCACCUAAUGAUAGAUUGAGUGUUAACUGGAUUGACUUUGUUUAUCAAGAGCUCCCUAGAUUGUUCUGCAGCUUCUGUCACAGACUUGGUCAUGAACACCAAGAUUGCUUUGAUGUACUUUUGCUCAACAACCAGCAUAUGCUGCCUCAAGCUCCUUCACCAGAUCCCCCUCAGCCCGAUCUUCAUGCACUUGGACCUUUUGUUGAACCAGAAUAUGAUGAUGAUUACUAUGAAGAAAUGAUUCACAAUGUGGAUUUUGAAGAUCCUGUCUGGAGUGACUGGGGUUCAAACCCUUUGGCUCCCCUGCAUCCUCUGAUCAAAACAAGUCUGCUAUCUCAUUAUUCGAUGGAGAAGGGUAUCAGCAAGAUGGUUUUCACUCUGAUUCAUCUUCAAACUCUGCCAGAACCAUCUCUGAGGCUUGGCUAGUUGAAGCAAACAACAUACUUGAAGAUCCAGUCAAUGAACUUAUGCCUCUGCCACCAUCUCUACCAGUUGAACUGCAACAACCUCUCAAUCCUUCAAUUUUCCUGGUAUCAGACAUUGAAGAAUCAGAGCUAAUAUCAGAUACUGAACUUCGAAGGCCAGCCAUAAAGCGAUUCAGCCCCGAGCAGCAAUCCUACCUUCAUAGUGCUGGCAUUGGUACUUCAUCAGGCACAUAAUCUUCAAGGAUAGUCACCGAUGAAGAACAUGAUCAAUGGAUUAACAUCUUUCAGCCGACUAAAAGGUUCUAGUCAGACACUAUGGAUCAAAAAAUUACUACACCAUCUAUGAGUUCAAUUAUCUUCACCUUCAACACUGCCUCCGUUGAAGAAAAAUCUACACAACCUACCACUUUAGCUUCACCUGCAGCCACUAUAUAAUGACAAUACUAACAACUUUAUGAUCAGACUCACCCAAAGAAAAAAAGACACAUUUAAGGGCCGGUGGAUAUCACAAAUUUGUGGUUCACUCUGUUAAUAUUUCAUAUAUGUAUGUAUAGUUAUGCUUGCUAGUUAUCCCAAGUAGAACCUAGGUUGAGCUGGUGGUUAUAAGUUUUUGGGUUCCAUCUUUUUUGCUUGCUCACUUAGAUUAUGUUACAUGUGUAUAUUUCCUGUGUGUAUGCAUCUAAUUAUUCUGUUCAAUAGUAGUGCAUCAGCAUCUAACUUAUUUUCCUUCUA